rnacentral:lncRNA from 1 species
CCAAUUUAAUUGUCAUGCUCCUCCAACAUCUUCUACCAUUCUUUUGUCAAUUUCAAAGGUAUCUUCGAAGGUAUUAUCACUAAAGCUGGCGUAUUGGCUCAUACUAAAUUAUUGGCCUCCUUCGCUAAUGCAGCUAAUUUAGUCUGCAACAUUACAACCUCUACCUACAGCCGUUCUUAUUGUUCCUUCCAAUCGGUCUCCAUCGUUGCUUUCUCAGACACCAUGUUCGCCAUCUUUUCCUUAACUACAAAAAAAAAUACGAUGCUUGUCAAGAGUCCCCCUC